rnacentral:rRNA from 1 species
CCUACGGGAGGCAGCAGUGAGGAAUAUUGGUCAAUGGACGAGAGUCUGAACCAGCCAAGUAGCGUGAAUGAUGACUGCCCUAUGGGUUGUAAACUUCUUUUAUAUGGGAAUAAAUUGGUCCAAGUGUGGGUUCUUGUAUUUACCAUACGAAUUCGGAUCGGCUAACUCCGGGCCAGCAGCCGCGGUAAUACGGAGGAUACGAGCGUUAUCCGGAUUUGUUGGGUUUAAAGGGAGCGUAGGUGGAUUGUUAAGUCAGUUGUGAAAGUUUGCGGCUCAACCGUAAAAUUGCAGUUGAAACUGGCAGUCUUGAGUACAGAAGAGGUAGGUGGAAUUCGAGGUGUAGCGGUGAAAUGCUUAGAUAUCACGAAGAACUCCGAUUGCGAAGGCAGCUCACUGGACUGCAACUGACACUGAGGCUCGAAAGUGUGGGUAUCAAACAGGAUUAGAUACCCCAGUAGUC